UGCCGAAUGUAAAGGAAUAGAACAUUAAAGCUGCUAAAAUACGGAAGCCAUGUUAUUUUAAUAAUGGGUUUUACACUAGGGCUCACGAUUGGAUGAAUCAGUAGAGUGUCUAAAAA